rnacentral:lncRNA from 1 species
CAAAGGAUGAAUGUGGGUGAUCUUCCCAGGUGUUAAACUUUAGUUGAAGAGUUGAAGAGAAGCAGAAGAUUCUAUUCCCAGCUGUUAAGAGACGAUUACGCAUGAUUAUGGUGCCACUUUACAGAGAUACACAACAAAAUAUAAAGUUGCUUUCUUGACAUCAAAAAGCUUAAAAUCGUGGUGAGAAGAAAUGUUACCCAGCCUUCCUACACUAUGGAAGACCUCAGCCUAUCUAUGGUUUUAGAUAUACCGUCCUGCACUGGCAAGACAUUCUGUGGCUGGGUCCCUGGGGAGAGACAAAAGGACAUGAAACAAGGGUCAUUCUGGAGGACAGCUUCUGCUGUAAAAGGUGC